rnacentral:ribozyme from 1 species
UGAGAGAUAAAAAUGACAAAUGAGUGGGAAAGUGCAAAGGGAAAAACAUAGGGGGGCAUGUCUGUUUUAUUCUACUAGAACCCAAGCCUCCUUCGGGGGGGCAGACAAAAGAAUUUUUUUAUUAUUUAUUUCCUCUAUUUAUUUCU